rnacentral:rRNA from 1 species
UACGGAGGGGGCUAGCGUUGUUCGGAUUCACUGGGCUUAAAGGGCGCGUAGGCGGGUUGUCAAGUCAGGGGUGAAAGCCUCCAGCUCAACUGGAGAAGUGCCUUUGAUACUGAUGAUCUUGAGGGAGGUAGGGGCAUGUGGAACUUCCGGUGGAGCGGUGAAAUGCGUAGAUAUCGGAAGGAACGCCGGUGGCGAAAGCGACGUGCUGGACCUCUUCUGACGCUGAGGCGCGAAAGCGUGGGGAGCAAACAGG